rnacentral:rRNA from 1 species
GAUGAACGCUGACAGCAUGCUUAACACAUGCAAGUCAACUUGAAUUUGGGUUUUUAACUUAGGUUUGGGUGGCGGACGGGUGAGUAACGCGUAAAGAACUUGCCUCACAGCUAGGGACAACAUUUGGAAACGAAUGCUAAUACCUAAUAUUAUGAUAAUAGGGCAUCCUAUAAUUAUGAAAGCUAUAAGCGCUGUGAGAGAGCUUUGCGUCCCAUUAGCUAGUUGGAGAGGUAACGGCUCACCAAGGCGAUGAUGGGUAGCCGGCCUGAGAGGGUGAUCGGCCACAAGGGGACUGAGACACGGCCCGUACUCCUACGGGAGGCAGCAGUGGGGAAUAUUGGACAAUGGACCGAGAGUCUGAUCCAGCAAUUCUGUGUGCACGAUGAAGUUUUUCGGAAUGUAAAGUGCUUUCAGUUGGGAAGAAACAAAUGACGGUACCAACAGAAGAAGUGACGGCUAAAUACGUG